GCCGAGAUGGUGAAAUUGGUAGACACGCCAGCUUCAGGUGCUGGUGGGGGCAACCCCGUGGAGGUUCGAGUCCUCUUCUCGGCACCA
rnacentral:tRNA from 1 species